GGGCGGUUAGCUCAGCUGGCUAGAGCGCCACGUUGACAUCGUGGAGGUCACAAGUUCAAGUCUUGUACCGCCCA
rnacentral:tRNA from 1 species